GAUGAACGCUAGCUACAGGCUAAACACAUGCAAGUCGAGGGGAAACGACAUCGAAAGCUUGCUUUUGAUGGGCGUCGACCGGCGCACGGGUGAGUAACGCGUAUCCAACCUGCCCACCACUUGGGGAUAACCUUGCGAAAGUAAGACUAAUACCCAAUGACGUCUCUAGAAGAUAUCUGAAGGAGAUUAAAGAUUUACCGGUGAUGGAUGGGGAUGCGUCUGAUUAGCUUGUUGGCGGGGUAACGGCCCACCAAGGCGACGAUCAGUAGGGGUUCUGAGAGGAAGGUCCCCCACAUUGGAACUGAGACACGGUCCAAACUCCUACGGGAGGCAGCAGUGAGGAAUAUUGGUCAACGGGCGAGAGCCUGAACCAGCCAAGUAGCGUGCAGGAUGACGGCCCUAUGGGUUGUAAACUGCUUUUAUAAGGGAAUAAAGUGAGUCUCGUGAGACUUUUUGCAUGUACCUUAUGAAUAAGGACCGGCUAAUUCCGUGCCAGCCGCCGCAGUAA
rnacentral:rRNA from 1 species